rnacentral:rRNA from 1 species
CAUCUUGUAGCAAUACACAAUUUGCAAGGUGCUGCAUGGCUGUCGUCAGCUCGUGCCGUGAGGUGUUGGGUUAAGUCCCGCAACGAGCGCAACCCCCAUCACUAGUUGCCAUCAGGUAACGCUGGGAACUCUAGUGAAACUGCCGUCGUAAGACGUGAGGAAGGAGGGGAUGAUGUCAAGUCAUCAUGGCCUUUAUGCCCAGGGCUACACACGUGCUACAAUGGGGCGUACAAAGGGCUGCAACAUAGCGAUAUGAAGCUAAUCCCAAAAAACGCCUCUCAGUUCAGAUUGGAGUCUGCAACUCGACUCCAUGAAGCUGGAAUCGCUAGUAAUCGUAUAUCAGCAAUGAUACGGUGAAUACGUUCCCGGACCUUGCACACACCGCCCGUCAAGCCAUGGAAGCUGGGUGUACCUAAAGUCGGUAACCGUAAGGAGCCGCCUAGGGUAAAACUAGUGACUGGGGCUAAGUCGUAACAAGGUAAC